AUUGAACGCUGGCGGCAGGCCUAACACAUGCAAGUCGAGCGAGCGGCGGACGGGUGAGUAAUGUAUGGUGACUUCCCGAUAGCUGGGGAUAACUACUGGAAACGGUCGCUAAUACCGCAUACUAUCGGAUAACCCCGAUGGAAUUAGCUAGUAGGUGAGGUAAUGGCUCACCUAGGCUACGAUCCCUAGCUGUGCUGAGAGGAUGAUCAGCCACACUGGGACUGAGACACGGCCCAGACGCCUACGGAGGCAGGAGUGGGGAAUAUUGCACAAUGGGCGCAAGCCUGAUGCAGCCAAGCCGCGUGUAUGAAGAAGGUCCUAGGGUUGUAAAGUACUUUAAGUCGUGAGGGGUUACCUACAGAAGAAGCACCGGCUAACUCGGUGCCAGCAGCCGCGGUAAUAC
rnacentral:rRNA from 1 species